rnacentral:rRNA from 1 species
GGACUACCGGGGUUUCUAAUCCUGUUUGCUCCCCUAGCUUUCGUUCCUCAGCGUCAGUUGUGGUCCAGUGCGCCGCUUUCGCCACGGGUGUUCCUGCAGAUAUCUACGCAUUUCACCGCUACACCUGCAAUUCCACGCACCUCUCCCACACUCAAGCACAGCAGUUUUGGAAGCAGCCUCUGGGUUGAGCCCAGAGAUUUCACUCCCAACUUGCCGCACCGCCUACGAACCCUUUACACCCAGUAAUUCCGAACAACGCUGGCCCCCUACGUCUUACCGCGGCGGCUGGCAC